rnacentral:lncRNA from 1 species
UUACAGGGUCGUUCAGAUUGUUCCGGACUGUUGGGUGCCGUCAGAGUUGACGGUGGACCCGUAUCGCCUUUUUGGCGUCAGAUUGUGCCGAUGGCAUGUUACCUGUUGGUUGUUUGACCAGUUUGAGUCGGUUACUUGACUUUGGCUAUUGAGAGCCUGAUUGAGCUCAACAGAGAUACGCUGCAUACUCGGUUGGGUAGCGCCCACGAGUGCCACUCCGGAGACGGGCUUUGUGCUUUCGCGUUGGUGUCGCUUAUGCCAGUUGGACUUGCUCUCCACAGACCAGUUAGUGUGGAGGUAGCUAGAGAGUCGCAAUGGGGCAGGGACGGGUGUAUUCACAGUUCCGGGGACGGGUAUGCUUACAGUCCCGAUUAGAUUGGGUCAGAUUUGACAUUUCCUACAGUUGAUUAGUGUAGAGCAAGAUAGUGUAGUUAUUAAUAGCGGUAGAGUGUACUUCCUGCUUUUCCUACUAUUCUUGCUCCCUUCUGUAGACUUAGUGGGUGACCGAUGUUGUUUUGGGCGGUACCCACUGAGGACUACUUAUUUUCACAGUAGUUCUCACGCCCAGUUGUUACUCUUGUUUUCCAGAGCCACAGGUUUCGGUUGCUGCUCCUUCCGCGGAUCAGGAUCGAGGCAAGGGCGUCGAGAGCUAGAGCCCUACCUGACUGACAGAGCUAGAGGCACCCCUACUUGUCGACAGCUCUGAAGAAGUGUCGGAACAGAUCCGAGUCGGGCGUUGGCGUGCAAUAGAAUGCAAAAAGCGGACCUCCGUGCGACGCGAGGCGGCACCUUCAGCGAAAAAAUCUACAAAAUAGCAUGUUUCCUGGCUGCGUGUACCGUGGUACACUGCCAGCGAGGUGUACGCUGGUAUCAGCUAUACUCUGGUUGACAACGUACUGCUCUCUGGUUGGCCUCCUGUACGGUACUGGUAACGCGUGCAUCCCGUGACGCGAUAAGGCUAGGGUAAGUGGGGUGUUUUGGUCUUUUUCUUAGCCGUCGUUCGAUCAACCUUCCUCUCCCAGCUAUUUACAUGUGUAGAGUGAGGCUGAGAGAGGAGAAUUUUUGCUCUUUGGUCCUCUCCUCUCUCGUCUAGAGCCGAUUGUGAGCAAGGUGGAGCUCGCGGAGAGUUUCGUCGUCAGACGUGGUGGCCGCGGAGCUGUUCGUGGCGCACGUUGUGUCGUCUUGGUGCUGUGAGGAAGCUCGCGUCGAGGCAGGGCGAUUUCGUUUCCUGAUCAUUGCCGCCGACCUCUGAGGAUCUUAUCGAGGUGAGUGCUCUGUGGAAUUGGCUGCGCAUACUUCGGUACAUUAAUCUCGAGCCUAAAGUGCUGAUUCGCAGGCUCUGUGUCGCAUCUGUUAGUAUUUCAGCCGUUCUCCGACGUAGACAUCGGAUUGGACGAGACUUGAUUCGUUGAUCGGGACUUACGAGAGGAAUUCCACGAAGCCGCUUACUUUGGAAUUUUGGUGAGUUAGCUUGUUCAAAGAUCCUUCUCUUCUGCUGGUCUGCUGUGGAAUUUUGACUGAAUCUGAGGAUUUUGGUGUUUUUACUUUGGAGUUAGCUGAUUUCGAGACUCGGGCUGCAUUUUUUGGUCGAUCCAUGCAGGUGGUGUCGCAGCGAGGGGGUUCCGUGGCUGCCAGGGAGUUAGCAGUUGGCGAGGUUGGGUUAGAUCGGUUAUUGACUCCUGAAGUUUCCAUAAUUGGUCGACAGUAAUAGAAUCUCGAUUUCUGAUAAAUCUAGAUCUAGCGUCGAAUUCAUCGGUAUUAUGAUUAAUUGCAAUACUGAAUUAUGGAGCAUGUGGUAUGAUAAUUCAAGUAGGUAUACAAUGGUUUGGGAACUUGGAAAAAUUGAAUUCAGGAAAGAACCUAUUAACCUUGGACGUAUUAAACUGGCUGAUUUAGCUUAAGGAGCCGUUAUAAAAUGUGUACUGUCGCAGUAUCUAGCAGACGAGUACUGUCAAUAAGUUUAGAAUCACAUUUACGCUCGUGCUGGUAUGUGCGAGUGUAAUUUUUACAACAGGGUCGUUUCAGGUUGUUCCGGAGCUGGUUGUCGCUCAGGUCAGACGCAGAGUUGACGGUCGGACGCCGUAUCGCUUUUCGGGCGUCAGAAUUGUGCCGAUGGGCAACGUUACAGAGGCCCUGUGGUUGUUAGACUAGUUUGAGUCUUACUUGACUUUGGCUAUGUAGAGCCUGAUUGAGCUCAGACAGAGAUACUCUGGGGCAUAACUCGUUGGUACGCCUUGACGAAUGCCCCUGCCGCAUUCAUGGAUUUGAUGAACAGAGUGUUCAAGCCGUUCUUGGAUAGGUUUGUGGUAGUCUUCAUCGACGAUAUCCUGAUAUACUCCCGGAGUGAUGCUGACCAUGAGGAGCACUUGAGGAUUGUGCUACAGCUUCUGCGAGAAAAUAAGCUGUAUGCCAAGUUGAAGAAGUGCGAGUUCUGGCUACGGGAGGUUGCUUUCUUGGGCCACGUGAUUUUAGCCGAGGGUGUAGCAGUGGACCCGAAGAAGAUUGAGGCAAUUCGAGAUUGGCCUAGACCGACGACGGUGACUGAGGUACGGAGCUUCCUGGGACUGGCAGGAUAUUACCGUCGAUUUGUGGAAGGCUUUGCGAAGCUUUCCACACCCCUCACACACUUGACGCGGAAGGGGAUUCGUUUUGUCUGGAGCGACGACUGUCAGAGGAGCUUUGACGAGUUGAGACUGAGGUUGACGUCAGCUCCUAUCCUUGCCCUUUCGGUAAUGGGAGAUGGAUUUGUGAUCUACAGUGAUGCAUCGCACAGUGGACUUGGUUGCGUGCUGAUGCAGCAUAGUAGGGUGAUUGCUUAUGCUUCACGGCAGUUAAAGGAUUGUGAGAAGAAUUACCCUACGCAUGACUUGGAGCUUGCCGCGGUGGUUUUUGCUUUGAAGCUCUGGCGGCAUUACUUGUACGGCGAGCACUGCGAGGUAUUCACCGAUCAUCAAAGUCUCAAGUAUCUGUUCACACAGAGGGAGCUGAAUCUGAGGCAGCGCCGGUGGUUGGAGUUACUGAAGGACUAUGACAUUAGUAUUCAGUAUCAUCCCGGCAGGGCGAAUGUGGUGGCAGAUGCGUUGAGCAGGAAGUCAGUGCAGAGCCUGAGUUUGAGGAUUACUGAGCAGAGACCCCUACUCGAGGAGCUACAGCGGCUGGGACUCGAGAUAGUACCCCCUGGGUCUACGGCGAGGCUGACGUCUCUAGUUUUACAGCCCACUCUGUUGGAUAGGAUCCGAGAGAAACAGAGUGGAGAUCCGUACUUGUUGAGGAUUAGAGAGCAGCUAGACAGGGGGCAGGCUGAGGGAUUUGCUUUGGACAGUUCGGGAGUACUACGGUACAGGGACCGACUGUGUGUGCCUGUGGAUCCGGAGAUUCGAGCGGAUAUUCUGAGAGAGGCUCAUUGUUCCCCUUAUACGGUUCAUCCUGGGGGAACCAAGAUGUAUAAGGAUCUUAAGGCACGAUUCUGGUGGCCUGGAAUGAAGCGGGACAUUGGCAGAUAUGUGGCUCAGUGUUUGACUUGCCAACAGGUGAAGGCCGAGCAUCAGGUGCCUGCUGGCAAGCUUCAGAGUCUGCCAGUGCCCGAGUGGAAGUGGGAGUACAUCACUAUGGACUUCGUCGUUGGAUUGCCUAGAGCGCAGGGUGGCUACGACGCGAUUUGGGUGAUAGUGGACAGACUGACCAAGUCUGCUCACUUCCUACCGGUUCAGACUACCUGGUCCAGGGAGAGACUUGCGCAGCUAUACUUGGAUGAGAUCGUUAGGCUGCACGGCGUGCCAGUGUCGAUUGUAUCAGACAGAGACCCGAGGUUUGUAUCCCAGUUUUGGAGGAGUUUGCAGACAGCCUUGGGUACACAGCUGCAUUUUAGCACGGCGUUCCACCCACAGACAGAUGGUCAGUCAGAGCGGACCAUACAGACUCUAGAGGACAUGCUGAGGGCAUGCGUCCUGGAUUUUGGAGGAGGGUGGUAUCGACAUGUGAGACUGGUUGAGUUUGCGUACAACAACAGCUAUUAAACGAGCAUUCAGAUGGCUCCGUUUGAGGCGUUGUAUAGACGCAGAUGUCGAUCCCUCCUGUUUUGGAGCGAUGUGGGUGAGCGUAGGACACUUGGACCGGACAUUCUAUGUGAGGCUGAGGAAAAGGUGAGAGUCGUUCGACGACACCUUCUGACAGCACAGAGCCGACAGAGGAGCUACGCCGAUACCAGGAGACGAGACUUGGAGUUUCAGGUUGGGGAUCAUGUUUUUCUCAAAGUCUCGCCAUCCAGAGGGAUACGCCGAUUUGGAGUACGUGGAAAGCUUAGUCCACGGUUUGUUGGCCCUUUCGAGGUAUUGGAGCGUAUCGGACCAGUUGCUUACAGGAUAGCUCUACCCCCGCGACUUGCUGGCGUCCACGAUGUUUUCCAUGUCUCAGUAUUGAGGAGAUACGUUUUUGAUCCCUUUCAUGUGAUUGACUUCACUCCACUUGAGAUUGGCGAAGAUCUGAGAUACGAGGAGCGGCCGCUGCGAAUUCUUGCUCGGGAGACGAAAGAAUUGCGCAACCGAGUCAUCCCGUAUGUGAAAGUGCAGUGGAGUAAUCACGAUGAGCGGGAGGCGACUUGGGAGUCUGAGACGGUGAUGAGGGAAGCCUAUCCCUAUUUGUUCGAUGCCGGAGCAGAGGUACGUUUCGGUUUCGCGGACGAAACCUUUUGUAGUGGGGGAGGAUGUGAGAUCCCUGGUGUUUGACUAUGGAGGCUUGUCGACAGCUCUGAAGAGUGUCGGGACAAGUCCGAGUCGCGUUGGCGUCAAAUAGAUGCAAAACGGACUCCGUGCGACGCGAGGGCAGCCUUCAGCGAAAAAAUCUACAAAAUAGCAGAUUUUCCUGCUUGCUGUACCGGUACAGCCAGCGAGGUGUACCGGUACACUAUACUGGUUGAGCACGUACUGCUCUCGGGUUGGCCUCCUGUACCGGUACGCGAUCCCGUGUACCGGUACACCAGGGUAGGUGAGGGGGUGUUUUGGUCUUUUUCUACCUCGUUCGUAUCACCCUUCUCUCCCCAGCUUAUUUACUUGUAGAGUGAGGCUGAGAGAGAGAAUUUUGCUCUUGGUUCUCUCCCUCUCUCUCUAGAGCCGAUUGUGAGCAAGGUGGAGCUCGGGUGGAGUUUCGUCGUCGACGUGGUGCCGCGGAGCUGUUCGGGCGCACGUUGUGUCGUCUUGGUGCUGUGAGGAGCUCGGGCGAGCGUGGAUUUCCGUUGUCCUCGACAUUGCGCCGACUCUUGAGGAUCUAUCGAGGUGAGUGCUCUGUGGAAUUGCUGCGCAUACUUCGGGUAUCAUUAAUUCGAGCCUAAGUGCUGAUUCGCAGGAUCUUGUCGUCGACUGUUAGUAUUUCAGCUCGUUCUCGACGUAGGAGCAUCGGAUUGUGACGAGACUUGAUUCGUUGGAUUCGGGACUUCGAGAGGAAUCCACGAAGCCCUUACUUGCGAAUUUUGGUGAAGGUUAGCUUGGUCAAAAUCCUUCUCUUCUCUGCUGCUGUGGAUUUUGGACUGAAUUGAGGAUUUUUGGUGUUUUUACUUUGGAGUUAGCUCGAUUUCGAGACUCGGGCGUUUUUGGUCGAUCCAGCAGGUGGUGUCGCAGCCGAGGGGGUUCCGUGCUGCCAGGGAUUAGCGUGCGAGGUGGGUUACAUCGGUUUUGACUCCUAAGUUCAUAAUCGUCGACAUGUAUAGAUCUCGAUUUUUGAUAAUCUAUUCUAGCUCGAAUUCAUGGAUUAUAUGAUAGAUUGCAAAUCUGAAUUUGGAGCAUGUGGUAAUAAAUUAAGUAGGUUAUACAUGUUGGACUUGAAAAUUGAAUUAGGAGAAAACCUGCGAUUUGGACCUGUCACCUGUUUAAACUGCCUGAUUUAGCUCUAGGAGCCGUUAUAAAAUUGUACUGUCGCAGUAUCCUCAAGACGAGUACUCCAGGUAGUUUAGAAUACAUUUACGCUCGUGCUGGUAUGCCGAGUGAAUUUUUACAGGGUCGUUCAGGUUGUUCCGGACUGUUGGGUGCCGUCAGAGUUGACGGUGGACCCGUAUCGCCUUUUUGGCGUCAGAUUGUGCCGAGGGCACGUUACCUGUUGGUUGUUAGACCAGUUUGAGUCGGUUACUUGACUUUGGCUAUUGAGAGCCUGAUUGAGCUCGACAGAGAUACGCUGCAUACUCGGUUGGGUAGCGCCCACGAGUGCCACUCCGGAGUCAGGCUUGUGCUUUUGCGUUGGUGUCGCUCAUGCCAGUUGGACUUGCUCUCCACGGACCAGUUAGUGUGGAUAGAGCCCGAUAGUCGCAACGGGGCAGGGACGGGUGUAUUCACAGUC